UUUUUUUUUUUGUCGCAAGUUUUUGCUCUGUUUGUUAUUUGAGUUGAUGGGGUUGAUUUACGGUGAAUGAGGCUGAGUGCUGGCUGUGUUUCGAUUGAAUCCAGAGUCGUGUGUCUAUUGUUUUUAUAUUUUAUAUACAAAUUGCGGUUUUCAUUUGUCUGGUCACAUAUGCGAAGUACUGUCCUCCUAUGUGGUUGCCAUUUAUCUAUUUGGUAUUAUUCCUUUUUCCUUCGACAG
rnacentral:lncRNA from 1 species